CAUACCUUCCCCAAGGACUGCAACUAUCUUAAUAUGGCUCUAGGACAAGUAAGGUUAAAGCUGUAAUUGCUAAACAACAGCAACAACAGCAACAACAAAAAGCAACCACUCAUCAUAGGGGAAAAGAUGCAUUCAGUAUCUUCCUCUCAUACAAAAUCUCCAAAGAGUCAGAGCUUGCUCAUCGCAUCAGCAUGAGACCCUGCAUUAAAAUGCAAUUGCACCUCAUGGUGACAGAAAAGGCUGAAGCCUGGUACAGAAGAGAGGAAGAACUUGUCUCCCAAAAAGGUAUUUCAUACAGUUGGGGCCACUUUAAGGAUUGACUUGAAGCUGGAAGCAGAGACAAUGAAGUAUCAAUGAUGAGAGGAACAGCACCUUGAGCAGGACAACUCAGCUCUGCACAUCUUUCCUAUUUCCACCUAACCCUUGUGUUGGGACCAUAAGAUAGACUUGAGGCUUCACUCACCCUCUU